rnacentral:tRNA from 1 species
GUCCGAGUGACGAAGUGGUAUCGUGCCGUUCUUAUACUAUUUGGCAAUGCGCGAAGUAGCAUGAAAGCAAUGCGGAAGUCGUGAGUUCGAUCCUCACCUUGGACA